rnacentral:rRNA from 1 species
UACUAUGCCUAACCACAAACUUAGACAACACCCUACUAUAUUGUUCGCCAGAGUACUACAAGCGCUAGCUUAAAACCCAAAGGACUUGGCGGUAUUCCACACCCACCUAGAGGAGCCUGUUCUAUAACCGAUAAUCCCCGUUUAACCUCACCCCUUCUUGCCAUUACCGUCUAUAUACCGCCGUCGUCAGCCCACCCUGUGAAGGACUAAAAGUAAGCAAAAAGAAUAAAACUCCAAAACGUCAGGUCGAGGUGUAGCAAAUGAAGUGGGAAGAAAUGGGCUACAUUUUUUUCCAAAAACAUACGAAUAGUAAACUGAAAACACACUUAAAGGUGGAUUUAGCAGUAAAAGGAGAUCAGAAUGCUCCUCUGAAACUGGCCCUGGAAUAAGCACACACCGCCCGUCACUCUCCUCAAAAACAACUCACUAUUAUUUAUAAACACAUUUCUCCAACAAGAGGAGGCAAGUCGUAA